rnacentral:ncRNA from 2 species
AUGAUUUCAGGGGGAGAGACUGCUUAAAUGCAGAGCCGAAGGAGCAAGUAAUGGAUCAUUAUGAAUCUCUCAGGCAAAAAGACUUCUGAUUGACG